rnacentral:rRNA from 1 species
GAGUUUGAUCCUGGCUCAGGAUGAACGCUAGCGGCAGGCUUAAUACAUGCAAGUCGAACGGUAAGUUUGGUAGCAAUACUGAACCAAGAGUGACGUACGGGUGCGUAACACGUAUGCAACCUACCCAAAACAGGAGGAUAGCUCGGGGAAACUCGAAUUAACCCUCCAUAAGAUCAUAGAAUGGCAUCAUUUAGUGAUUAAAACUCCGGUGGUUUUGGAUGGGCAUGCGUCUGAUUAGUUAGUUGGCGGGGUAACGGCCCACCAAGACGAUGAUCAGUAGGGGAACUGAGAGGUUGAUCCCCCACACUGGCACUGAGAUACGGGCCAGACUCCUACGGGAGGCAGCAGUAGGGAAUAUUGGUCAAUGGAUGCAAGUCUGAACCAGCCAUGCCGCGUGCAGGAAGAAGGCGUUAUGCGUUGUAACUGCUUUUGCC